UGCAUUCGGGUCAUGUGGUACA
rnacentral:siRNA from 1 species